GACGAACGCUGGCGGCGUGCUUAACACAUGCAAGUCGAGCGGUAAGGCCCUUUCGGGGGUACACGAGCGGCGAACGGGUGAGUAACACGUGGGUGACCUGCCCUCAGCUCUGGGAUAAGCCUGGGAAACCGGGUCUAAUACUGGAUAUGACUCCAUGACGCAUGUUGUGGGGUGGAAAGCCUUGUGCGGCUGAGGAUGGGCCCGCGGCCUAUCAGCUUGUUGGUGGGGGAUGGCCUACCAAGGCGACGACGGGUAGCCGGCCUGAGAGGCGACCGGCCACACUGGACUGAGACACGGCCCAGACUCCGUACGGGAGGCAGCAGGUGGGGAAUCUUGCGCAAGUGGGCGAAAGCCUGACGCAGCGACGCCGCGUGAGGGAU
rnacentral:rRNA from 1 species